GUAUAAAAAGCGCUCCUUGCAGCUCUGGAGAGUCAUACCAUUCAUCUACUCUCACAAUCUCUUGUCUUUCUCCUAUCCCUGACUCGCUAACUGGGAAUAUUAUAAACGUCAAGGAACUGUGCAAAUUUGUCAUUGCUAUCUAUUUUCUCUGUCGAGCAAAAUAAGAACCAAUCACUCAGCCAAGAUGCAAUACUUAGAAUUACCAAGGAUUCACGUGGCAGUCGUAUUAAUCCUCUUCCUCCUAGCCUCAGCCUCAUAUUCACUCCCUACAGCAGCACCAGAGAAUGGUCAGGAGACAGCCAACACCUCUGUUACCACCACAACUCCUCCAGCAUUAAAUUCUUCUGCACAGGAGGUUGAAAAUGAGCUCAAAGCUGGUUCACUGAAUGCUGGAGCAGCCCAUCACUUCCCACACUGUCAUAGAAAGAGAAAGAACUUCACCAUUUCCUAUCCUGGUAAUGAGCCCGGUCUAGUCUGUAAGGAUGGUCGUGAGCCUUUCCCAUACUGCGAAGGAGGAUGCAGGUCUCUUACAAGAGUGAUCCAAAGCCCACCGUUUGUUGAAAGCGUAUGCAACUGCUGCUCUUUCCUUGAUGCCGAGGUCAGAAAAAGAACCGUUGACUUCAAAUGUACUGACAGCAAAGGGAAUGAGGUAACAAAGAAAGUGCUGAUGUACUUCCCAAGGAUUACGGACUGCACUUGUGUGAGGUGCGGUCAACAGCCAAAUGUUAACAUUAAGUGAGCUUCAGUAGAUCAAACGGUCUUAGGACUUAAUCUUGGCAGGCAAUAACGUAUCCCUUUCUACAUACAUGUAUAUCAAAUUAUAAUAUCUAUUUGUUGUUGUUAUUAUUAUUAUUAUUAUUAUUAUUGUAUAAUAGCAAAUCCGAGAAAUUUUAGUAAUCUUUCUCCCUCCCUCUCUCUCUCUCUCAUUUUUUCUGUGUCUUAUAUCAUUCAUUAUGUCUCAUUCUCCAACGUGUCAUCACUCAAUAUUUGUACUGAUUAUGAUAGCAAUUUCUUUUAAAAAAACACUUGAAACUCAAAA